rnacentral:lncRNA from 1 species
AUGGCAGUGCCAGGAACCCCGGCCACGCUUCUCCUCCCGUUGCAGCCGGCUGGGAAACGAGCCAGGAGCAAGAUGCUCGCCUCUCCCCGCUCACACCCUGCUGCGGGUCUCUGGCCCCGCUGUGCCCCAAACCCCAUCUCCGGUCACCCCAACCCUGCAACCCUGUGUGCUUUGAGAAAGGGGACUGCAAGCAGGAGGCACGGGGUCGUCUCCCACUCCGUGAGGCCAUCCCCAGGGACGUGGCCCCAGACGGAGCCAAGGAAUGUCUUAACUCAGCCAUUUUGGUCCCUCGAGUCCCUCGGGGCAGGAGCUCCUCGCUCCUCCCUCCCUGCGCGCACGCUUCCAGUUAUACCCGUCCCUGCUCAGCCCCAGGACCUCCGCAGCCCAAGGGAGAAGGGGACGAGGAUGUGCUUUGAAAUUUUGGUCCGUGAUGCGAUCCCAAGUCAGUGGUGGCCCCAAAAGCCACCACGGCUGGGGACCAGUGAGAGGUGGGGACGGCGUGGGGGUCUGGGGUGCCAAACCCGUCUCUGCCUCUGCCACUCAGGGCUGGGCCACCGGGGGGGACAGUCCUCAGGAUGCUCCCCAGCACAGUGGCAGGGGGGGAAAAUCUUUCACGCUCGGCCCAGAAGAGGCACAGGGAUGGGGGCUGAUCCUGCUGCCUCCCCAGACCAUCUGCCCAGCGGGUGGAGGGCUCAGGAGGGUCCCAAAAGCCCCGCAGCAGCAAAAGGAAAGCAGGAAGGGUCCGGGUGGAUCUGGGGAACGACCACUGCUGACAGAGGAAGAGGCUGCCCCCGGCACGCGGGGCCCCAAAGGAGAAAUAGGGAGCCACAGGGGGGACACGAGGCCCGGGUGGCGCGGUGCUGCCAGCACGGCCCGGCCCCGUGGCAGCCCCCGGAGCCCUGCGGUUCCCCGGCCCCUGCAGCAGCUCGGCCCCUGCUCGGCCCCGUGGGGCCCGGAGGAAGGGGGGAGCUGGGACAAGGCAGCCAGGCCCCGAGGCAGGAGCAGCGCCCAGGGCUGGCCAGAGCAGCCGCUCUGAAUCCCAAGAAAGACAGAUCUCGUUUACGACUUUAA